UACGGAAGGCAGCAGUGGGGAAUAUUGCACAAUGGGCGCAAGCCUGAUGCAGCCAUGCCGCGUGUAUGAAAAAGGCCUUCGGGUUGUAAAGUACUUUCAGUCGUGAGGAAGGUGUUAAGGUUAAUAACCUUAGCAAUUGACGUUAGCGACAGAAGAAGCACCGGCUAACUCCGUGCCAGCAGCCGCGGUAAUACGGAGGGUGCGAGCGUUAAUCGGAAUUACUGGGCGUAAAGGGCACGCAGGCGGUUAAUUAAGUUGGAUGUGAAAUCCCCGGGCUUAACCUGGGAAUGGCAUUCAAGACUGGUUAGCUAGAGUCUUGUAGAGGGGGUUAGAAUUCCAUGUGUAGCGGUGAAAUGCGUAGAGAUGUGGAGGAAUACCGGUGGCGAAGGCGGCCCCUGGACAAAGACUGACGCUCAUGUGCGAAAGCGUGGGGAGCAAAC
rnacentral:rRNA from 1 species